rnacentral:rRNA from 1 species
AUUUAACGCUGGCGGCAGGCCUAACACAUGCACGUCGCACGAGUGGCGGACGGGUGAGUAAUGUCUGGGAAACUGCCUGAUGGCGGGGGAUACCUCCUGGAAACGGUCGCUAAUACCGCAUACCAUCGGGUGUGCCCAGAUGGGAUUAGCUAGUAGGUGGGGUAAAGGCUCACCUAGGAGACGAUCCCUAGCUGGUCUGAGAGGAUGACCAGCCACAAUGGAACGGAGAAAAGGCGCAGCCUCCUACGGGAGGCAGCAGGGGGGAAUAUGGCACAAUGGGCGCAAGCCUGAUGCAGCCAGGCCGCGGGUGUGAAGAAGGCCUUCGGGUUGUAAAGCACUUUCAGCGGGGAGGCGUUACCCGCAGAAGAAGCACCGGCUAACUCCGUGCCAGCAGCCGCGGUAAUUC